rnacentral:rRNA from 1 species
CGGAGGGUGCGAGCGUUGUCCGGAAUCACUGGGCGUAAAGGGCGCGUAGGUGGCGCCGCAAGUCAACGGUGAAAGCUCGGCGCUCAACGCCGAGUCGGCCGUCAAGACUGCGGGGCUCGAGCACUGUAGAGGCAGAUGGUAUUCCGGGUGUAGCGGUGGAAUGCGUAGAGAUCCGGAAGAACACCGGUGCCGAAGGCGGUCUGCUGGGCAGUAGCUGACACUGAGGCGCGACAGCGUGGGGAGCAAACAGGAUUAGAUACCCUGGUAGUCCACGCCGUAAACGAUGGGCACUAGGUGCUUGGGGGAGCGACCCUCUGAGUGCCGACGCUAACGCAUUAAGUGCCCCGCCUGGGGAGUACGGCCGCAAGGCUG